AGUGAACGCUGGCGGUAGGCCUAACACAUGCAAGUCGAACGGCAGCACAGUAAGAGCUUGCUCUUACGGGUGGCGAGUGGCGGACGGGUGAGGAAUACAUCGGAAUCUACUUUUUCGUGGGGGAUAACGUAGGGAAACUUACGCUAAUACCGCAUACGACCUACGGGUGAAAGCAGGGGAUCUUCUGACCUUGCGCGAUUGAAUGAGCCGAUGUCGGAUUAGCUAGUUGGCGGGGUAAAGGCCCACCAAGGCGAAGAUCCGUAGCUGGUCUGAGAGGAUGAUCGGCCACACUGGAACUGAGACACGGUCCAGACUCCUACGGGAGGCAGCAGUGGGGAAUAUUGGACAAUGGGCGCAAGCCUGAUCCAGCCAGACCGCGUGGGUGAAGAAGGCCUUCGGGUUGUAAAGACCUUUUGUUGGGAAAGAAAAGCAGCAGGUUAAGACCCCGCUGUUCUGACGGUAACCAAAGAAUAAGCACCGGCUAACUUCGUG
rnacentral:rRNA from 1 species